rnacentral:lncRNA from 1 species
GUCUUGAGGAGCUCUGCCAUUCCCUCAGCCACAUUUUUCAUUUAACAGUGGAGAAUCUCCUUUUCCCAUCCCAAGUAUGACAGUGGAAUAAGAACUGAUCUAGCUCAUGAGAGCAGCUCACAUUUCAGGGGUGGUACUCUGUGAACCAUUCUGGUUCAAUCAAUGCCUAGCAAGUAGGUCACAAUCCACAAGGGGUGACUGCCCUGGAUCUGUAGGACUAAGCUGUCAGCAGAUGAAGGAGGGGCCAGGCAGGUCUCCAAGUGGAGAGGAUGCGCUUGUCUGUUUCCUGCCAUGUCCUCAAGGCUAGACCUCAGGAACGCAUACUGUUGUUUGCCGAUCACGGGCCUGGAAGAAGACGUUUGCAUGUUUGGGGCCUGCUAAGUUUUCUGUGGGUGAGAUCAUCUCCUACAUAUUGAUUGGACCAGAGAAUGUUUACGCCCCAAAUUAAAAACUACAACAACAAAUAGGGAAGAGGAGGAAUAAAAUAUAUAAGGAGAUCCUGCAAUGAUGCAAAAUCGAUGGACAGGAGUCGUCGCAGCUCAGAGAACUGAGGUUGACACUCCGCCCAACCAACUGUCGUUGUGGGAGUGGUUCCCAAAGGGUAUCCGGACGCUGCUGCCACGGGAAGAGGAGCUGUGCCAGAGUUCACCAGCAGUGACCUCCGGAGAUGUGGGCUACUUUGCCUGUGUUAGGUCUGCGUUAGGAGCCUGGCUCUGGCUGACCCCAUCUGUCUAAAGAGACGGAGUGAUGGAAGGGCUCCAGGGUGCAAAACAAAUCUCCAGUAAUGUUGUCCAGGGUGGCCAGAGAAAAGCAUG